UACGUAGGGUGCGAGCGUUGUCCGGAAUUAUUGGGCGUAAAGAGCUCGUAGGCGGUCUGUCGCGUCGAUCGUGAAAACUUGGGGCUUAACCCUGAGCUUGCGGUCGAUACGGGCAUGACUGGAGUUCGGCAGGGGAGACUGGAAUUCCUGGAGUAGCGGUGAAAUGCGCAGAUAUCAGGAGGAACACCGGUGGCGAAGGCGGGUCUCUGGGCCGAUACUGACGCUGAGGAGCGAAAGCGUGGGGAGCGAACAGG
rnacentral:rRNA from 1 species